AGUGAACGCUGGCGGCAGGCCUAACACAUGCAAGUCGAACGGCAGCACAGGAGAGCUUGCUCUCUGGGUGGCGAGUGGCGGACGGGUGAGGAAUACAUGGGAAUCUACCCUGUCGUGGGGGAUAACGUAGGGAAACUUACGCUAAUACCGCAUACGACCGAGAGGUGAAAGCGGCGGACCGCAAGGCGUCGCGCGACUGGAUGAGCCCAUGUCGGAUUAGCUUGUUGGCGGGGUAACGGCCCACCAAGGCGACGAUCCGUAGCUGGUCUGAGAGGAUGAUCAGCCACAUUGGGACUGAGACACGGCCCAAACUCCUACGGGAGGCAGCAGUGGGGAAUAUUGGACAAUGGGCGAAAGCCUGAUCCAGCCAUGCCGCGUGAGUGAUGAAGGCCCUAGGGUUGUAAAGCUCUUUUGUGCGGGAAGAUAAUGACGGUACCGCAAGAAUAAGCCCCGGCUAACUUCGUGC
rnacentral:rRNA from 1 species